rnacentral:rRNA from 1 species
CCUACGGGUGGCUGCAGUGGGGAAUAUUGGACAAUGGGGGGAACCCUGAUCCAGCCAUGCCGCGUGUGUGAAGAAGGCCCUCGGGUUGUAAAGCACUUUCAGUGAGGAAGAACACCUGGUGGUUAAUACCCAUCAGGAAAGACAUCACUCACAGAAGAAGCACCGGCUAACUCCGUGCCAGCAGCCGCGGUAAUACGGAGGGUGCGAGCGUUAAUCGGAAUUACUGGGCGUAAAGCGCGCGUAGGUGGCUUGAUAAGCCGGUUGUGAAAGCCCCGGGCUCAACCUGGGAACGGCAUCCGGAACUGUCAAGCUAGAGUGCAGGAGAGGAAGGUAGAAUUCCCGGUGUAGCGGUGAAAUGCGUAGAGAUCGGGAGGAAUACCAGUGGCGAAGGCGGCCUUCUGGACUGACACUGACACUGAGGUGCGAAAGCGUGGGUAGCAAACAGGAUUAGAUACCCGGGUAGUC